rnacentral:misc_RNA from 1 species
GGAAGGAGGGGGUGGAGUGGAGGCAACUCCUAUAGAAGGAAGCAGAAGAUAUUCCCAAAACUACUACUAGAGUGAAAAGGAUAUGAAUAAGUGGAGAAAAUAUUAGAAAAUAUAUUGCAUGUGAGAACCACAUCAUGGCAGAAAUCUAAUGCAUUUCGAUGAAAAGUGUGUGCCAACUCCACUUAGAUGGAUAGAGGCACCACUACUGCUACAGAACCGUAA